rnacentral:rRNA from 1 species
GAUGAACGCUGGCGGCGUGCCUAACACAUGCAAGUCGAGCGAACAGAUAAGGCGUUUGCUCCUUUGACGUUAGGGGCGGACGGGUGAGUAACAUGAGUGUAACCUACCUAUAAGACUGGUAUAAUCCCGGGAAACCGGGUCCAACGCCGGAUAACAUUUAGAACCGCAUGGUUCUUAAGUGAAAGAUGGCUUUGCUAUCACUUAUAGAUGGUCCCGCGCCGUAUUAGCUAGUUGGUAGGGAAACGGCCUUCCAAGGCGACGAUUCGUAGCCGACGGGACAGGGUGAUAGCCGACACGGGAACUGGACCACGGUCCAGGCGACUAAGGGAGGCAGCAGUAGGGAAUGUGAGGCAAUAGGGGAGAACAUGACGGAGUGGGGCCGCGUGAGUGGUAGAGGUGUUCGGAUCGGAAAACCCUGUUAUGGGUGAUGAACCGAUGUGUACGGAGACGUAGACGUCUUGACGGUAACUAGUAAAGAAGCCACGGCUAACUACGUG